UCAAGUCAUAUGUAUUCAGAGUGACCCCUACUAUCACUGUAUUAAUAUUCAAGGCAUUUUACUGUAUAGUUUUGGAGAAAACUAAAAGCAAAUUCCCGCAAAACAUCAAUCUCCAUUGUUGCACUUAAACUUUUUCCCAUUUUCCAAAAUUCAUAUAAAGUGUUCCUUUAUAGGUUAGCUCAUUCUUUCAAGUCAUAUGUAUUCAGAGUGACCCCUACUAUCACUGUAUUAAUAUUCAAGGCAUUUUACUGUAUAGUUUUGGAGAAAACUAAAAGCAAAUUCCCGCAAAACAUCAAUCUCCAUUGUUGCACUUAAACUUAUUCCCAUUUUCAAAAAUUCAUAUAAAGUGUUCCUUUAUAGGUUAGCUCAUUCUUUUAAUGUAUAUGUAUUCAGAGUGACCCAGACUACCACUGUAUUAAUUAUCAAGGCAUUUUACUGUAUAGUUUUGGAGAAAACUAAAAGCAAAUUCACCCAAAACAUCAAAAUCCAUUGUUGCACUUACACUUUUUCCCAUUUUCCAAAAUUCAUAAAAGGUGUUCCUUUAUAGGUUAGCUCAUUCUUUCAAGUCAUAUGUAUUCAGAGUGACCCCUACUAUCACUGUAUUAAUAUUCAAGGCAUUUUACUGUAUAGUUUUGGAGAAAACUAAAAGCAAAUUCCCGCAAAACAUCAAUCUCCAUUGUUGCACUUAAACUUAUUCCCAUUUUCAAAAAUUCAUAUAAAGUGUUCCUUUAUAGGUUAGCUCAUUCUUUUAAUGUAUAUUUAUUCAGAGUGACCCAGACUCCCACUGUAUUAAUUAUCAAGGGAUUUUACUGUAUAGUUUUGGAGAAAACUAAAAGCAAAUUCCCGCAAAACAUCAAUCUCCAUUGUUGCACUUAAACUUAUUCCCAUUUUCAAAAAUUCAUAUAAAGUGUUCCUUUAUAGGUUAGCUCAUUCUUUUAAUGUAUAUGUAUUCAGAG